AGCGAACGCUGGCGGCAGGCCUAACACAUGCAAGUCGAACGAACCCUUCGGAGUUAGUGGCGGACGGGUGAGUAACACGUGGGAACGUGCCUUUUGGUUCGGAAUAACUCAGGGAAACUUGUGCUAAUACCGAAUGUGCCCUUCGGGGGAAAGAUUUAUCGCCAUUAGAGCGGCCCGCGUCUGAUUAGCUAGUUGGUGAGGUAACGGCUCACCAAGGCGCCGAUCAGUAGCUGGUCUGAGAGGAUGACCAGCCACACUGGGACUGAGACACGGCCCAGACUCCUACGGGAGGCAGCAGUGGGGAAUCUUGCGCAAUGGGCGAAAGCCUGACGCAGCCAUGCCGCGUGAAUGAUGAAGGUCUUAGGAUGGUAAAAUGCUUUCACCGGGGACGAUAAUGACGGUACCCGGAGAAGAAGCCCCGGCUAACUUCGUG
rnacentral:rRNA from 1 species